GACGAACGCUGGCGGCGUGCCUAAUACAUGCAAGUAGAACGCUGAAGGAGGAGCUUGCUCUUCUGGAUGAGUUGCGAACGGGUGAGUAACGCGUAGGUAACCUGCCUGGUAGCGGGGGAUAACUAUUGGAAACGAUAGCUAAUACCGCAUAAGAGUAGAUGUUGCAUGACAUUUGCUUAAAAGGUGCAAUUGCAUCACUACCAGAUGGACCUGCGUUGUAUUAGCUAGUUGGUGAGGUAACGGCUCACCAAGGCGACGAUACAUAGCCGACCUGAGAGGGUGAUCGGCCACACUGGGACUGAGACACGGCCCAGACUCCUACGGGAGGCAGCAGUAGGGAAUCUUCGGCAAUGGACGGAAGUCUGACCGAGCAACGCCGCGUGAGUGAAGAAGGUUUUCGGAUCGUAAAGCUCUGUUGUAAGAGAAGAACGAGUGUGAGAGUGGAAAGUUCACACUGUGACGUAUCUACCAGAAAGGACGCA
rnacentral:rRNA from 1 species